AAAGGGUUACAAUAAAGAUAAUUAAAUCCAGCUCCUGGCCCUGCACAAGACAUCCCAAGAAUCACACUGUGUGCCUGAGGGUGUUGUCCAAAUGUAGAACCUUUCCAGAGCCACCACAUCAGUGCUGAAUGCACUUCUCAGCUGUCCACAGCACUGCCAAAAAACAGUGCACUCUUCAUUUCCAUGGAACACCACUGUACAUCAUUCCAGCGCAGCUGGCAAAUUCUGCCUUGCAAUGCAUUGCAAGAGGAGGAAUUUACUGGCACACAGUGAGCA